UGGGGAAUAUUGCACAAUGGGCGGAAGCCUGAUGCAGCGACGCCGCGUGAGGGAUGACGGCCUUCGGGUUGUAAACCUCUUUCAGUAGGGACGAAGCGUAAGUGACGGUACCUGCAGAAGAAGCACCGGCUAACUACGUGCCAGCAGCCGCGGUAAUACGUAGGGUGCGAGCGUUGUCCGGAAUUACUGGGCGUAAAGAGCUCGUAGGCGGUUUGUCACGUCGUCUGUGAAAUCCUAGGGCUUAACCCUGGACGUGCAGGCGAUACGGGCUGACUUGAGUACUACAGGGGAGACUGGAAUUUCUGGUGUAGCGGUGGAAUGCACAGAUAUCAGGAAGAACACCGAUGGCGAAGGCAGGUCUCUGGGUAGUAACUGACGCUGAGGGGCGAAAGCAUGGGUAGCGAACAGG
rnacentral:rRNA from 1 species